rnacentral:rRNA from 1 species
UACGGGGGGGGCAAGCGUUACUCGGAAUUACUGGGCGUAAAGCGUGCGUAGGUGGUUCGUUAAGUCUGAUGUGAAAGCCCUGGGCUCAACCUGGGAAUGGCAUUGGAUACUGGCGACCUAGAGUGCGGUAGAGGGGUGUGGAAUUCCCGGUGUAGCAGUGAAAUGCGUAGAUAUCGGGAGGAACAUCUGUGGCGAAGGCGACACCCUGGACCAGCACUGACACUGAGGCACGAAAGCGUGGGGAGCAAACAGG